CAGGAAGGUUAAAAGUACCCUCAGACUCAGGAAGGUUAAAACCACCCUCAGACUCAGGAAGGUUAAAAGCACCCUCAGACUCAGGAAGGUUAAAACCACCCUCAGACUCAGGAAGGUUAAAACCACCCUCAGACUCAGGAAGGCUAAAACCACCCUCAGACUCAGGAAGAUGUAAAACGUUCCUUUUUAUUCUAUGAGUUUUAACUGCCCAUAAAGUCUGUUUUGACAGAGUAUACUUUUUAAAGAAUGUCUUCGGUGGGGUAAUUGGUAUUACCAAAAAUAAAACCAAAACCUUUGUCAGCCAUGCCGUUCUAAAGAGUUUUAUUCUCCCUGUAAGAUUCAUGGAAGUUUAUUCCUUUAAUUAGAUCUGCUUUCAUGUGGUUGAGUAAUGGAAUAAAGUU
ensembl:lncRNA